rnacentral:misc_RNA from 1 species
GAGAGAGAGAAGAAGAAGAAGAAGUUCUGUUUAAGGAAAACAUUUUAGAUAUAGGUUAAGGCAUCAGCAAAAAUUGAAUAUCCCUGUAAGCCUACUCCUACUCCAUGGCAACAUAAGUAAUUGAACAAAACAAAUUUAUGAAUUUGAAGGAAUUCGUCUUGGGUGUUUUGAGGCAUCCCCAAACAGAAGAAUCUAAAGGGUAGACCUUUUGAAAACACUGGAACUGGAGAUUCUUGUGCAUCAGAUCCUCGUAACAGAGCACAGCCUUAUAAGAAUCUUAUAUAAACUAAGUUCCACAUGUUGCUUUGUGUUUGGCUAGCGAUAAUUGGUAUGACAAGUUGGGGUGAGAUGGCUAAAAAUAUGAACAUAAACAAUAUUUUGACAGCAACAUUAAAGAAGCUCCAUGUUGCCCAAUAUUAUGUCUAAUUAAUUAGAUAUCUGUGCCCCUUCAGGCUCUGCACCUCUAAUCUGUUAGAUAAGCUCACCUAUAAGCUGCAUGCAUGGUUUUAAAUCGCGGUCGC